rnacentral:rRNA from 1 species
CACGGGGGGAGCAAGCGUUGUUCGGAUUUACUGGGCGUAAAGGGCGCGUAGGCGGCCACCGCAAGUCAGUUGUGAAAUCUCUGGGCUUAACCCAGAACGGUCAGCUGAUACUGCGGGGCUAGAGUGCAGAAGGGGCAACUGGAAUUCUCGGUGUAGCGGUGAAAUGCGUAGAUAUCGAGAGGAACACCUGCGGCGAAGGCGGGUUGCUGGGCUGACACUGACGCUGACAGCGCGAAAGCUAGGGGAGCGAACGGG